AUCCAACACCUUCAUCAUCUAACUGGAUACAAGAAGGGAAAAUUGUAAAAGUCUAACAAAAUCGAUUGUUUAUGAAACAGUACAUACAUAUACAGGUAUAAGAAAAUUCUUAUCCUUUUUCACCAUUUGUUUGAAAGUAAAGGGUCUCCAUCAACGGAAAAAUAAUACUGAUUUUGAUUUUUUAACGGCCACAAUUCUUCAAUCUGUUAACAUUCCUUUGAAUACAUUACCUUGACCUCCUUCACCAAGGAUUCGACUGACAUUAUAGUUGUCACUGGCCUUCUCCUAAUCCUUUGAAGUAAACAAUUUUGUUUUCUCAAUAUUACCUUCAUUUAAAGACAACUCUGGCCGCAAUAAUAAACCACCAUUUCUUUUAAAGAAUUUAUGCUUCCGCUUGAUUUUCCUUCUUUUUAUGAACUUAUACAACCACCAUAAUCCAAUGAGUAGUAGAAACAACAGUCCGAGCACAACAACACAACUUGUGCCACUCCAAGACUAGAAUUAAUAGCAAGUCAUUGAGACCUUUUAUUGCGUGGAGUUAUUCCAAAUAUGUAACCCAAUGAGUAGUAAAAACUUGCAAUUUUAAAAAAAAAAAUCAAUUGUAAAAGAUUAAAGAAUCUGAUGAAAAGUAAUUUUUUUUUUACUAUGAAAAUUUAUUUUUGUAAAAAAGAUAAUUUUGUGAAAUUUUCAUAAAUUGCUAACUUUGUUAAAAUGUUAGAGAACAACCGAGCUUGUGGGUAUUUUUUACGUAUUUAUUUUCAAAUGGAAUGCCAUAAACUAAAAAGCAUAAACCUAGAACAAAUUGAAAGUUAGUAAUAAGUUAAGCACAUAGGAUAAAGGAUUAGGUUGUUAUCAACAGUCUUCGCUACGAUAAGAAGAAACUUGAAAGGGUAGUUGAAGAGAGAACUAAAAGGGGAUUGAAAUUGAAGAGAGAGAUUAUCUGAGAUGGGUUUAUUGAGAUAAAAAGAAAGUAAAAGCUAUUUUAGGAAUUAAAGAAGAUAUAAACAGAAAAAGGAUUUGAGAAAGGAUAAUUGAGGGGAGCUAAUAGCACCACUCUUUCACGAUUAAUGGAGGAUUCUAUUUGUGAAAAAUUCAUUGGCACCUACAGGUUAUUUUCAAUAGAUUAAGGAUUUAAGUCUUGCGAAAGUAGAUAAUAAAAUUAAAUAAUUGUUAAAGUCAUGGCUGGCACAGGCCAUCUAGAUGGGCGGUGCCAUGCCAUUCAACACGGCCUGCCAUUCUUGGUGGUGCCGUGUUGACUUAUUAUAUAAAAAAAAGGAGCUAAAAUUUUGGCUAUAUAAAGAGGGCUUUCCACCCUCAUUUUUGCAUUCAAUUUGUGAGAGAGAAAAACAUAGAGCUUGAGUAAUUUUCAGAACUUAAAAUUAUAAAGCUCUUGUGAGUCCAGUGAGUGAGAGAUUGGGUGUAUUGGGGUUCUGGAAAGUGAGCCAAAAUAUUAUAAUACUUGUAAUCCUCAUAUCACUAGUGAAAUAUUUUUCUUCUGUUUUCACCGUGGACGUAGGCUAAAAGUCGAACCACGUAAUUUCUGGUGUCCUCUAUUGUGCUAAUUCUUUAUUUUCUUCUAAUUUUAUUUUAGCUGCAUGUCUGCUUCACCCACCAAUUUCCUAACAGUGGUAUCAGAGCUAUUGGUUGAAUUUUUGGAGUCGGACACUGUUCACGUAUACUAUAUUAUUCACGUGAAACGGUGGGAGCGAUCCUAGUAUUGGCGGUGCAAAGCAAGGAAUUGUGGUGUGAGUAAAGCAACUGUGUGGUUUUGUACAUGUUUAAGAAAGUUCUGUCACAAAGGCGAUAAGAGCUUAAGGAGUCUGGGUUUUAAGUGGGACCAUUGUGACUCCUCCAGUCUUUCUUGGAACUUUCCUAGUGUGCAUUCUCACACAUACUCACAACUAUUCAAGGUGGUACACUAGCUUAUGUACUGUAUUUAUCAACAAAAUGGCGGCAAAGUAUGAAAUUGAGAAAUUCAACGAGAAUAAUUUUUCGUUGUGAAAAAUGAAGAUAAAAACUGUAUUGAGGAAAAAUAAUUGCUUGGCAGCAACUAGAGAAAGGCCCAUGGAGAUAACUGAUGACAAGUGGAACGAGAUAGACGGUAACGCCAUUUCUUAUCUACACUUAACAGUUGCAGAUGGAGUAUUAUCUAGUAUGGCAGAGAAAAAUACAACGAAGGAAAUAUGAGAUACUCUCACAAAAUUGUACGAGGCCAAGUCACUACACAACAAAAUCUUCUUGAAGAGAAAACUCUAUACUCUUUGAAUGGUGGAUUCUACAAUGGUGACCGACCACAUCAACACCUUGAAGACUCUAUUUUCACAACUCACAACAUUGGGUCAUAAUAUAAAGGAGAAUGAAAGUGCAGAGCUUCUACUUCAAAGUCUACCAGAUUCGUAUGAUCAACUCAUCAUCAACUUGACGAACAACAAUCCAGCGGACAAUCUAGUUUUUGACGAUGUUGCAACCUCCGUAUUAAAUGAGGAGAGCAGGCGGAAAAAUAAGGAAAACAGAAAAAUAAGUUUGCAGCAAGCGGAGGCACUAUCGAUGACAAAAGGGAGAUCAACAUAACGUGGCCCCAGUGGGAGUUACAAUCAUGGUAGAUCAAAAUUCAGAAGUAAGAAGAAUGUUAAAUGCUACAACUGUGGCAAGAAAAGGCACGUCAAGAAAGAGUGUUGGAGUAACCAGAAGAGAAAAAAUGGCAAAGAACAUGAGUCAUCAAAUGCUCAGGGGUGUGUAGCAAGUAUCUCGGAUGAUGGCGAAAUUCUCUACAGCAAGGCAACAAUUGUUUCAGAAGGCAGAAAAUGAUUGUCUGAUGUUUGGCUUAUAGACUCAAGAGCUACCUGGCACAUGACCUCUCGGAGAGAAUGGUUGCACACAUAUGAACCUAUCUCAGGAGGAUCUGUAUAUAUGGGUAAUGAUCAUGCCUUGGAGAUCGCUGGUAUUGGUAUAAUCAAAAUAAAAAUGUUUGAUGGUACAAUUCGCACAAUUGGGGAGGUACGACAUGUCAACGGCCUGAAGAAAAAUCUAUUAUCUUUGGAACAAAUGGAUAGUCAUGGGUACAAAACUCAUGUGGAGAGUGGAAUUAUAAAGAUCGUUAAAGGCGCGCUUGUAUUGAUGAAGGCGUAAAAGAUUAGUGCUAAUAUAUUCAUAUUUAAAGGGGAAACACUACAGGAAGCUGAUACGUGUGUCACGUCAAAUGGAGAAGAAUUAACGAUGAUGUGACAUCUCAAACUUGGCCACAUGUCAGAACAAGGUUUGAAGAUUCUCUCUAAGCGAAAAUUGCUUCCGGGGCUCAAAUUGGUAAGUUUACCAUUUUGCGAGCAUUGUGUUACAAGUAAACAGCAUCGAUUAAAAUUCAGUAGAUCUAUUGCUAGAAGUAAAUGCAUUCUAGACUUGAUUCAUUCUGAUGUUUGGGAAUCACCGGAUAUAUCCAUGGGAGGUGCAAAGUACAUGGUGACUUUCAUUGAUGAUUAUUCCAUGAGAUGUUGGGUGUAUCCAAUUAAGAAAAAGUCAGAUAUAUUUUCAGUGUUUAAAGAAUACAAAGUGCGGGUGGAACUUAAAUCUGGUAAAAGGAUCAAGUGCUUAAGGACAGAUAAUGGUGGAGAGUAUACAGACUGCGAGUUUCUUGCUUUAUGUAAGCAAUAAGGUAUUCAGAGGCAGUUCACGGUAGUAUACACUCUUCAACAAAAUGGAGUGGCGGAGCGGAUGAAUAGGACUCUUACAGAAUGAAUAAGAGCUAUGUUGAGUACUGUUGGUCUACCCAAUUCAUUCUGGGCAGAAGUAGCCAAAACUGCCUGUUAUAUAGUAAAUCAGUUACCAUCUACAGCUAUUAGGCUGAAGACAACGAUGGAAAUGUGGACUGAAAAGCCAGCUGAUUACUCAUACCUACAUGCAUUUGGAUGUCCUGUGUACGUGAUGUACAAUGCCCACGAAAGAAUAAAGCUGGAUCUAAAAUCUAGAAGAUGUAUCUUCUUGGGAUAUGCUGAUGGUGUAAAGGGGUAUCGCUUGUGGGACCCCACUGCCCACAAGAUCGUCAUCAGCAGAGAUGUUAUCUUUAUAGAAGAUCAACUGCAGAGGAAAGAUGGAGAUGAUGGCACUGUAAAAGAAAAGUUAGAGACUGUGCCGGUAUAUGUGGAAAAUAAUACAGAAGAUGCAAACUCUUCUAAAGCAGCACCAGAGCACGAGGAAUAAGAACCAGUCGAGUCUGAGGCUCUAGAAGUUCGUCGGUCAACUCGUGAGAGACGACUGCCGUCGUGGCACUCGGAGUAUGUCACAGAGAUCAAUGUUGCGUACUGUCUUCUAACAGAGAAUGGAGAGCCAUCAACUUUCUAUGAAGCUUUAGAAAGCGCAGAUGUUGCUUUGUGGAUGACAGUAAUGCAGGAAGCAAUUGAAGCUCUACACAAGAAUAAAACAUGGGAACUUGUACCACUACCAUAUGGAAGAAAAGCUAUUGGAAACAAAUGGGUCUACAAGAUCAAACGUGAUGGCAAUGACCAAGUGGAGCGGUAUCGUGCGAGAUUGGUGGUGAAAGGAUAUCUAAGAAAGAAGGUAUUGACUUCAAUGAGAUAUUUUCUCCGCUGGUUCGACUCAAGACAGUCAGAGUAGUCUUGGCGAUGUGUGCUACAUUUGACUUACAUCUUGAGCAGUUGGAUGUGAAAACUGUAUUUCAUUAUAGAGAACUUCAAGAACAAAUAUAUAUGCUCCAGCCAAAAGGUUUUGCAAAAACAGGAAAGGAGAACUUGGUUUGCAGGUUGAACAAAUUUCUGUAUGGUCUCAAACAGACGCCGAAGUGUUGGUAUAAGAGAUUUGAUUCUUUCAUCAUGAGCCUUAGAUACAACAGACUCAGUUCAGACAAUUGUGCAUAUUACAAGAGGUUUGAAGAUAAUGAUUUUAUCAUUUUGCUGUUGUAUGUGGCUAGGGAUGGCAAUGGGCACCACCCGCUGCGGGUUUACCAUUACCAAAUCCAAACCCGCACAUAAUUUAAAUUACCAAACCCACCCGCAACCCGCAACGGGUUUUAAUUUUUUAAGAAAACCCACCCACAGCAGAUUUUAAUUAUUACCAAACCCGCAAUGGUACCCGGCGGAUUUUUUGCGAGUUUCCGCAUUUAAAAUCAUAAAUAUUUAAUAUAUAAAUUUAUAAUAAUAACCUCAAAUUUUAUAUAACAUACUCAAUUUUAUAUUUAACCAAUAUAAAUGAAAAAUUAAAAUUUCAACAUGAAUCCAACACAAAUUCUCAAAUAUAAGUAUAAAUCACACAAAUUCAUUUAAAAAACACAAACUACUACCUAAAAAUAACAAUUACAUUUCAUAUUAUCAUUUAAAACAAGCUUCAAGAGAAGAUCUUCAUUUCAUUCACCACAAUAAGCACUCAUCCAACACGAUUCCUAAAAUAAUAAUUAAGAUUAAUAUUUUCAAAUACUAAUUCGGAGAAAAAAAUUAUAAUAAUGAAAUAAUUCAUGUAUUAAGGUAAACAAAAAUACUAGAUACAAAAUUAUAAUAGGUAUAUAAUAUACACAACUUUGGGCCUUUUUCUAUUUGGUAAUUCAAAUUAUUACAUUAUUUUCUUUCAACAUUUUUUAGAUUAAAAUUAAAUUAAAAAUAUUUGAAAAAACAUUGCGGGUCUGGUGGAUAUCCAUACGGGUGUCCACCGGAUAUAAGGUUAAUACCAAACUCACACGCAUCCAUGUGCGGAUUUUAGUUUAUAAAAAUAAACUCGUCCGCAACGGGUAAAAUUACCCGCAGCGGAUGGGUUUUGGUGGGCAGUUUUGGGCGGAUUUGCGGGUACAAUUACCAUUCCUAUAUGUGGAUGACAUGUUGGUAGCAGGCCCCAACAAAAAUUGAAUCCAAGAAUUGAAGGCACAGUUGGCUAGGAAAUUUGAAAUGAAGAACUUGGGACCAGCAAACAAGAUUCUAGGGAUGUAAAUUCACUGAGACAGAAAUAAUAGGCAGAUUUGGCUUUCACAGAAGAAUUACUUGAAGAAAAUCUUACGGCGCUUCAACAUGCAAGAUUAUAAGUCAAUUUAUACCCCACUUCCUGUAAAUUUCAAGUUAUGUCCUAGCAAUGAAGCAGAGAGGAAGGAGAUGUCUCGAGUACCGUAUGCAUCAGCAGUGAGAAGUUUGAUGUUCGCUAUGAUAUGUACUAAACCGGACAUUGCACAAGCAGUGGGAGCAGUCGGUCGAUACAUGGCGAAUCCUGGUGGAGAGCAUUGGAUAGUUGUGAAGAGGAUUCUGAGAUAUAUCAAAGGAACCUCCAAUGUUGCAUUAUGUUAUGGAAGAUCAGAGUUUAUUGUCAGGGGCUAUGUGGAUUCAGAUUUUGCAGGAGACCUUGAUAAAAGAAAAUCCACUACUUGCUAUGUGUUUACACUUGAGGGAGCAGCUGUAAGCUGGGUUUCGAAACUAUAGACUAUUGUGGCUCUAUCUACAACAGAAGCAGAGUACAUAGCAGCUACACAAGCUUACAAGGAAGCUAUUUGGAUACAAAGGUUAUUGGAGGAGCUCGGGCACAAACAACCAAAAAUUCCUAUGUUUUGUGAUAGUCAGAUGCCUUGCAUAUUGCAAGGAAUCCAGCCUUUCAUUCUAGAACAAAGCACAUAGGGGUGCAGUAUCACUUCGUUCGAGAAGUAGUGGAAGACGAAAGUGUGGAUUUACAGAAAAUCCAUAUGAAGGAGAACCUAGCAGAUGCUUUGACCAAGCCAAUAAAUACUGAUAAAUUUAUCUGGAGUAGAUUCUCUUGUGGCCUAGCAGAAACGUAGGCAACAUGAUUAUGGCGAAGCAGAAAGGAUGAUGUGGAGAUUAAUUUAUUCUCAAUCAAAUCUCCAAGUGAGAGAAUGUUAAAGUCAUGGCUGGCACCGACCAUCUAGAUAGCCGGUGCCGUGCCAUUCAACACGGCCCGCCAUUGUUGGUGGUGCCGUGUUGACUUGUUCAAAAAAAAAAAAGAGCCAAAAUUUUGGCUAUAUAAAGAGGGCUUCCCACCCUCAUUUUUGCAUGUGCUGAUGAUUCACCUAACAAAUGCUCUGUCUCUUCACUGUUCUCCUGUGCCCAUAAAUUUUCAUGCAACCUUUUCAACCUGUCAAGCUCCUCAGAAACUUGCUUCAUUGUUGGCCUUUUCGCGCCGCUACUUCUCAAGCAUUCACCUGCAAGCUCCGCAAAAUUUUCUACCUCCCCCAUUUCACUUUCAUUAGCAACCCGAAAACUCAGAAUCUGACGCAAACUAUUAUUUUCAAUUGAAGAGAGAAAAUAUUGAACAAUGUUUAUCGUCCCAUUGGAUGCCAGUGUCAUGCGCGAGCCAGGCUUCACCCCUAUUAACAGUUCCACAAAGACAACCCCAAAGCUAUACACAUCACUCUUUUCUAUCAAAUUACCUGUCAUUAUUAGUUGGGAGCUACUUAGUUUAACAAGUAAAACAUUUUGGGUGGCACAAGAGAUCUCCAGUCAACAGGCUGGUGAGAAAAAUUACCUGUCAUUAGAUACUCCGGAUCUAAGUAACCAAACGUCCCUUGUAUUUUCGUGGCCAGAGCAGCUUGAUCUGGCGAAAUCAGCACUGAAGCCCCAAAAUCAGCCACUUUUGCUAUAUACUUGUCAUCCAAAAGUAAGUUGGAGGAUUUUACAUCUCCGUGAAUUAUUGGGGGGCUUGCUAAAGAAUGGAAAUAGUCAAGAGCUGAAGCAAUUUCGGCCGCGAUCCUAAGACACAUUUUCCAAGUUCUUAACGCCUGCGAACUCUUAUCAUGGAUAUAGUGAGAUAUAGUUUCAUUGGAAACAAAUUCAUAAACCAGUAGAGGCACUUUGGUUUGCAAACAUAGCCCUAAAAUCUUGACCACAUUCUUAUGGUUUAUUCGUGACACAAUACCCAUUUCCUUCGAAAUUCCUGAUUUAUCCGAAUUUUUUCUAACUCUUUAGGCUUCUUCACUGCAAUUUGGAUAUUGUCAGGUAAGACACCUUUGUAAACAGAGCCAAAACCACCUUCACCUAGAAAGUGGCUUUCAUUAAAAUUUUCGGUAGCUUUAACUAGCUCUGCGGCACUGAAAAUCCUCACUGACUGAUGCUUUAGUAUCUCACCACCAUUUUUUAAGAAGUUUUUCUGCUUUCUUCGUUCUAUACAUCCAAUGAAAAUUAAAAUUCCUAGAAUCACACUGAAUAUAACUGCUCCAAUAACUGAACAUGUUAAAAAGAAAAGAAUUAUAUAACGUAUAAUUACGAAAGGAAAAUGAUCCAUUAUAAGCAGCAUUCCAACUUCAUGCCCAAUCUCAAAGGAUUUUAACAUUGAAAUUUAAAAGCUUCACUUUACCUUUCUUGUAUUACUCAUUUUACCAGCUAAAUCAUCAUUUGGCAAAUACGAUGCAUAAAAUCAUUAACAUAUUAGGUACCGUGUAUCAAACUGUCAUAGAAUCUGAAAAAAUAAUUACUGUCAUGUAUCUUAAAAGGGAGAGACGACAAAACACAAACACUAAAAAAAUCUAGAUGACAAACAAUAAUAAUAAAAAUGACAAAAACAAUACUUACAGAUAAAUAAAUAAUAAAAGAAGCAAUAGAAAAUUUAGAAAGAGGACAUCAGUCAUCACCUGCAACAAUAGUGGUGAUAUGAAAUCCCCGACAAUCGGACAAUCGCAUGUAUAACUCCCAAUUGUGUUCCUACACUUCCCUUCACAAUGGUACUUUUCUUUAUCUAGGCAUUCAUCAAUGUCUGUCACACGUGCAUAAGGUGACGCAUUUUUAAUGAAAAAAAUUAAAGAACACUGAGAUUUAGACUGCAUGAGGUGACAAACUUUUAAUCACAAAAUUAAAGGAUACUGAUAUUUGGACCACGAAAUUAAAUAAAACGCUGACAAAAACAAUAUACAACCCCAAGAGAGUUUAGGUAUUUAAUUUUCCAACAUAAUUAACUCCGCAUCGGUUUUUGUCAGUGUUUUAUUGAUAUCUAGCCACUUUAUAAUUUCUGUGAACAAAAUGACUGAUUAUUAGUUAAAAUAAAUAAAAAGAGAAGAAUCGAGGAAACUUACCAACACAUCCUAGAUAUGGGUUUCCCUGAAAUCCUUGCUUGCAUUUGCAACGAUACCCUUUGCCAUUUUCAGAGUAAUAACAAUUAGUAUUAUCACCGCAGCCAUCAACUUUUGAAUUUGGAUUAUCCGGGCAAUUCUUUUCUUCAACUACCCAUUCAAUUGUAACAUUUGAACUUGACUUAUCUUUAGAGGCUUGAAAUUCUGCUAUAUUGAAGGUUUCGUCUGCUAAGAGUGCAUAAUCACACGGCAUGAACUCUCCUAAAUUUGUGUGAUUACGUAUGCUAAGAAGAGCGAGAUUCAACGACCUGAGACUUUGGGGCAAUGGAAUCUGGCAGCAACUGAUACCUGAGUAUAUACAAUUUUGGCAUAGUAAAUGCUUCUUAGUAAAUAGGUCCACCACACCACCUGACACUUUAGCUGAAUCUCUGUUUACUUUUAUUUCUCUAUUGGCGACCUUGGAUUUUGGUUAAUUAGCUUUCAACCCAAUUGCAUUCUAUGGCAAAAACAGUCUUGAGGCUCGAUAGAUUCUCUGUUGGAUAAAUUCCAGAGGUCACUACUACCCUGCCACCUUGAGCAGAAGUUCAAUGCAUAAGGCAACCAUUUGAGUGACAAUGUAUAUAAUGUAUUAUUCAUCAUAUGCCAAGUUUUAAUCCACGUAUGCAAUGAAACGGUGGCAAAUUUGUUUGAAUCCAACUUAUAUGUAUUUUCUUUCAAAGAAUGUUUCUCGAAAAAAUUUGUAAGGAUAAGUUGAAAACUCAAAAGAACAAGUAACAAAACUGAAAAAGAAGUAAAAUGCAAAGCACAUUAUUGAUAUUCAAAUGCAUAUGCACAAAGUUGUUACUUGCGGGCCAAGGUAUUUGAUCCAAGGGUCUAUAAAAUGCAUAGCAUAUUAUUGAUUUCAUUGAAUUGCUGAUUUUAUCCUGAGUGCUGAAUGUUAUCUCUGGUACGUGCUGAUCACCAUUCGUUAGGUGAUUAUAAGUUGCUCCUUCGUAGAGGCAAUUCAUUAAAGUUCAUAUUAUCAAACCCCUUCAUCAUCUAACUGGAUACAAGAAGGAUAAAUUGUAAAAAUCUUAACAAAAUCGAUUAUUUAUGAAACAGUACAUACAGAUAGAGGUAUAAGAAAAUUCUUAUCCUUCUUCACCAUUUGUUUGAAAGUAAAGGGUCUCCAUCAACGGAAAAAGUAACACUGUUAAAAAAUGAUCCCGUAGAAGAUGAACCAGUUUUAAAAUGUCUGGCAUUGUCAUAAUCCACAAAAUCAAUC
rnacentral:lncRNA from 1 species